GGGCGUGUGGUGGAAUUGGCAGACACACUGGAUUUAGGUUCCAGCGCUUCGGCGUGAGGGUUCGAGUCCCUCCUAGCCCA
rnacentral:tRNA from 1 species